rnacentral:rRNA from 1 species
CCUACGGGUGGCAGCAGUGAGGAAUAUUGGGCAAUGGGCGGAAGCCUGAACCAGCCAAGUAGCGUGCGGGAUGAAGGCCCUACGGGUCGUAAACCGCUUUUGCACGGGGAUAACACCCUCCUCUUGUGGAGGUCUGCAGGUACCGUGCGAAUAAGCGCCGGCUAAUUCCGUGCCAGCAGCCGCGGUAAUGCGGAAGGCCCGAGCGUUAUCCGGAUUCAUUGGGCUAAAAGGGAGCGUAGGCGGGCGUGCAAGUCAGCGGUAAAAUCGCGCGGCUCAACCGCGCCCCGCAGUUGAAACUGGAAGCCUUGAGUUCACAACAGGCAGGCGGAAUUCGUGGUGUAGCGGUGAAAUGCAUAGAUAUCACGAGGAACCCCGAUUGCGAAGGCAGCCUGCCGGGGUGCGACUGACGCUGAGGCUCGAAGGUGCGGGUAUCAAACAGGAUUAGAUACCCCUGUAGUC